AUGAAAGUCAGUCACACUUUUAUCUGCUUCUUCUUCCUCUCACUGUGGGAUGGAAACACUCGUCUCAUUAAUGCAGUCCCCAUUAUUACAGAACAGGAGGGAGGAGACAUUAGAUAUGGGUGUUCCUUCUCAUUCUCUUUCUCUGGAAAAAGAAAGAUCUUCUGUAAGGAUGAAUGUAAAGAAAAAGACAUUCUUAUUCAAACCACUGAUAAAAGCGCUCAGCGUGGCAGAUACAGCAUUGAAUAUGAAGAAGGAACAUUUGGAUUAUACGCAGUUCUCUAUGUUAGCAUCACAAAACUGACCAAGUCGGACUCGGGACGGUACAAAUGUUCAGCCAGACGUAUGUUUCUAGAUUCAACCAAGGACUUUGAGAUCAGAGUUGAAGAUGUGGAAAACCACCACCAAAGCACCUUUUACACCAUCAGUCCCAUCAGCCUCCACACUGACAACAACACAGACAACAGAGAGCUGCAGGUCCAGGUGUGCUGCUGUAUGUGCAUUUGCUACUGGUCAUCAAGAUCAUCGUAUUAUCAGCGGCUGUGCUGCUUUUCUGCAGAGAGAGGGCAGGUAAACCCAAAGGAGGAGGACAGACAGAGCAGAUCUCCUCCUGAAGAAAUAUCUACAGUUUACACUUUCCACCGCAGACAGUUCUCAGGACAACGUGAGUUAAAACUGUGGUAGAAUUUUUAAAGAUUUAGGGGGUUCAUUUACAGAAUAUGGCUGAAAUUGAAUAUACCAUGAAUAACUAUGUAUAGUGUAUAAUCACUUGAGAUUCACUGGGAUUAAACAUUGUGCUGCUGUAGCAUUUACAGCCUUUCCGCAGGGAAAAUUUCAUCACCAGAACACUAGAUGGCACUACAUUCUACACAGGGUUCAGAAAACAGUAUCUUUAGAUUUCACCCACUAAAAUAAUUUGACUACCUUCGUGUACAGCAGAGGAAAUAUGUUUUGCAGUGGCAGUAUAGAGAGAAGUCUGUGGACACGUUUUCAAAAAUAGAGUUUUACAUGAGCUUUACGUCAGUCUGUUUCUCAGUAACAUGCUGUGUUUUUAAGAAACAGGAACCAGGCCAGUUUGUGAUCAUAUUUAAAGCUACAAGUUUCCGCUGUUUUGAGGAGGAAGUCUUCGGACUUCAUGUUCCAGUGUGAGCAGAGAGAGGGAGGAAAACGUGCUGCACUGAAAUACAGAUAUUCAGUUAGAUGUUAAAUAAUACAUUUGGAGAUAAAACCCUGUUUAUGGUUCACAUUAAGCAGCGCACAUGCUGAACUGAUGCUUAAACAACAAACCUGCCUCAGUAUACAUAAUCCCUAGAGCUGCAACAAUUAGUUCAUUAAUCAACAACAAUUAAAUUAAUUGCCAACUGAUUUGAUAAUUGAUUCCUCGUUUUUGAGUCAUUUUGUAAGAGAAAAAAAUUCUAAAUCCUCUGACUUCAGCUUCUCAAAUGUGAAUAUAUUUUCUUUAGUCCUCUUUGACAAUAAACUAAAUAUCUUUGGGUUAGUUGCAGCCCUAUAGCUGAUAUCUUAAACAAAAGGAACACAGAAGAAUAACAUAAACUUUGUAGAUUAUGUACAUAUGAAGGACUAAAUCAGUCACUGAUAACCUUUGACCUCUGUUUGUUUUGUUUCAGACUUCCAGUAAACUCAUCUACUCUGAACGGUGCAGCUGCCUCGCUCGACAGCGCCCCCCGUGGUGAUGCAGAUACUGUUGUCUACUCUUUGCCAUUUGCUGGAAAAAGUAAAAAUAGGGUUUGAAAUGCAUAUUUAAGGCUUGUCUGUUAUCUGUCUGAACUCUCAGGAUUCAACAUUUGGACAGUGGGAUGUUUUCUUCAGUAGAAAAUAAAAUGUCUUCCCUCCAAAAGAGAUAAGCUCCUUUUGUAAAAAUAAUUAAAAAUAAUUCUUGAAAUAAGCUGUUUUUAUUAAAAACAUUUAUAGAACUUGAUAACAGACAAAACUGACAGUGAGAGGAGUUUUCUAGCAGUGUAGACACACUGUUUUUUGACUCCGCUGUGGAACAAGGACUAAUAAAUAAGGAAGGAAAGUUGGGUGAGGGUGUUGCUUGGAGGAGGGACUCCAUCAUUUAGAGAAGUGUAAAGUUCCUAAUUUUUCAGUGAAGACCGAAGAAAGGCAGCGAUAAACCAUCAGAACCUCCAACAUGAAGGUCUGUCACACUUUGAUCUGCGUCAUCUUCCUCUGUGAGUACACUCUCCUUCUGUUUCUAUCACUCUCUCUCUUUAUUAUGUGACCUCAAACUCUAAAGACAUUUUUUUUGGUUUGAUACCAACAAUCUGCAAUCAGCGACUGUUCUGCUGUACUUGUUUUAUAGUUUAAUUGUUGCUUUUUGUUGUAUUUAGACUGUUGCAGUCGGAAAGAUUCAAGAGAAAGAUUACAUUUUAUUAUAGAGUAUUAGAGAAAUAUAUGAGUUUCAGUCAAAGUAAAUCAUAGUAACAUUUUCCCAACUGCAAGUUUUUAAACGGCCAUCACAGUGAGUGCUCAGUCUCUUUGGCUCAAGACAAGCACUGGAGCCUGCAUGUGAUGGGCGUCUAUAACCGUGAAUAUGUUAAAAAAGUACAAAUACUGAAUCAAAUCAAAUAAUCAAAAACAUACAAUCAAACAAAAACAAAAGGUAAAAACUCACUUUCUAGCAUUUUAAGGAUCUUUUAACUACAGCUCACACUUUAUCAGCAGGUGGUUUGUUUAGUAAUGCAAAUGGUUCAGUAAACAAUGAUGUAAAUGAUGUGUUUGACUGCAGGAUCUUACAGGACAGGAAGAUAGUAACGAUUGAUUGUUUAUCUUUCCAACAGCACUGUGGGAUGGAAACACUGCCUGCUUCGUUGGUGACAGAAGAACACGAGUCUAUACAAGAACUGAAGGAGAAAACAUCAGAGCUUUGUGUCACUUUGAUUUCUCUUUGUCUGGAAGACAUAAGAUCUUCUGUAAGGGAGAAUGUGAAGAAAAAGACAUUCUCAUUGAAACAUAUGAGGACAGAGCUCAGAGUGGCAGAUACAGCAUCCAAUAUAAACACUUAGAUCCUCAACCAUUUAUUAUAUCUAUGGAUGUGAGCAUCACAAAGCUGACAAAGUCUGACUCAGGGUGGUACAGAUGUAAGGUGGACAGAUCUACAGAUUCUUACGAUGACUUUGAGCUCAGAGUUGAAGAUGGUGAGUUUCUACUGAGAGUCCUGAAAUGAAGUGUUCACUGACAGCUGCUGAUGUUUCUAAUAACCCAACAUGUUUAGUCUAACAAUUAUAUUUGGAGCUGCAUAUUUCCAUCAUUGUGAACACUGAUAAAUGCUCCUUUAAAAGCAACAGUUCAUCUGUAAAAUAUCU
rnacentral:lncRNA from 15 species